rnacentral:rRNA from 1 species
CUACGGGCGGCUGCAGUGGGGAAUAUUGGAAAAUGGGCGAAAGCCUGAUCCAGCAAUGCCGCGUGUGUGAUGAAGGCCUGCGGGUUGUAAAGCACUUUAGGUGGGGAAGAAAUACUUGAAACUAAUACUUUCAAGGGUUGACGUUACCCAAAGAAUAAGCACCGGCUAACUCUGUGCCAGCAGCCGCGGUAAUACAGAGGGUGCAAGCGUUAAUCGGAGUUACUGGGCGUAAAGGGCGCGUAGGUGGAUGCUUAAGUCGGAUGUGAAAUACCCGGGCUUAACCUGGGAACUGCAUUCGAUACUAAAUGUCUAGAGUAUGGUAGAGGAAAGUGGAAUUUCUGGUGUAGCGGUAAAAUGCGUAGAUAUCAGAAAGAACAUCAGUGGCGAAGGCGGCUUUCUGGACCAAUACUGACACUGAGGCGCGAAAGCGUGGGGAGCAAACAGGAUUAGAUACCCGCGUAGUC